AUGACUUAGUUGUAACUAUUCGAUGAAUCAGUUUAUACUGAAAAUUCCUGGCUUUAUUUUCUAUGGUAAUUUUAUUUAUCAGUGCAAAACAGUCACAAAGAUAGUCAUCUGCUAGAGUAAUAUUAAGUUUGAGACUACAUUAUUUUAC